GGAAGUAUGGCCGAGUGGUCGAAGGCGACACCCUGCUAAGGUGCUGAACUCCCUCCGGGGUUCCGAAAGUUCGAAUCUUUCUGCUUCCGCCA
rnacentral:tRNA from 1 species